GACGGUGAAAUACCAAAUUUGUUGCUCUCCUCCCCUGCAUGCCUCAGUAGAGGCGUGUGCGCCGAAGGCCCCCGCUCCUCUCCUCUCCUCCCCUGGGCGGCGGCGCCUCCACUCCCACCCAAACUCCCCGCUCAGAUCUGGUGCCACAGUUCUUCUUGGCCCCCCGCUGCUCCACGGCAUGGUCGAAUUGGGGCUCCGUCUCCAUGCCGAGCGCGGCGGCGGCGGCGGUGAUGCAGAGGAGCACGGGGAGGGCGAGAUCGAGCGUCCCGAGGCCGUCCGCGAGGAGCACGACCUUGAAGACGCCGACCUCCACCCACCAUCUCCUCCUCACACCGCGGAGUGGGGAAGGACUGCAGGCGUCAUCGAACUCCACCGCCAUCACCUCCCCACGCGGCGGAGUAGGGAACAACGCCGCCCGUUUCCUUCGGCCCUGCAUCCCCUCACGCUGUGAAGUGGGGGACGAGCCACCGUCACCCUCCUGCACCUAUCAUCUCCUCACAUGGGUGCCAUCGUUCUUGCUGUUUGUGCAACCCGGCCAUCCAAGGAGACAAGAUCUGAGGUAGUUGAAUGAUUUCCUGCAUGAGAUCAGGUGGUUGGGCCAUCAGUAAGCUGUGGACCGGGCAGCCUGGAUUGAGCGGCAGUAGUGCUGGCGCCGACGGCUCAGGUACAUGCGGGCGGCGCUACUAGGUGACGGCGCAGCGGAUCUGGCGAUUCACGAGCCCGAGAAGGAGCGCAAUCCAAGAGCUUUGAAGAUUAAGAGUUCCAAGAACAAUAGUUAAAGACUCUGAGCAGCAAUUUUCAUUGGAAGAAAGGCAAG